rnacentral:lncRNA from 1 species
CUUAAGGUAGAUGGGGUGUCUAAAUUAUAAUCCAUAGAAUCUUUUAAUAAUUUGCCAAAAUGAAGUUCAUAUCCUGCUUGUUUAAAAACAUUAAUAAAAAGAAUGGGUCACCGGACUUAUUUUCACGCUACAGGUUGUUCAAAAUUGUCAAGAUUUUGUAUAGAUUAUGCAUGGAAAACCCAUUUUCCGCCAUAAAACGCAAACCACACCAUAGAAUUUUGAGAUAAAAUAUGAGAAGAUAGCUUCAAUAUUAUGCUUUCAGAUAAGAAAAAGAA